UGGUGGAGUGAUUUGUCUAGUUAAUUCCGUUAACGAACGAGACCUCAGCCUACUAAAUAGAUAGCCGAAGAUUUUAUCUUCGCGCUAGACUUCUUAGAGGGACUUUCGGCACAAAGCCGAAGGAAGUUUGAGGCAAUAACA
rnacentral:rRNA from 1 species